rnacentral:rRNA from 1 species
CUUGAACGCUGGCGGCAGGCCUAGCACAUGCAAGUCGAACGGUAACAGGAAGCAGCUUGCUGCUUUGCUGACGAGUGGCGGACGGGUGAGUAAUGUCUGGGAAACUGCCUGAUGGAGGGGGAUAACUACUGGAAACGGUAGCUAAUACCGCAUAACGUCGCAAGACCAAAGAGGGGGACCUUAGGGCCUCUUGCCAUCGGAUGUGCCCAGAUGGGAUUAGCUAGUAGGUGGGGUAACGGCUCACCUAGGCGACGAUCCCUAGCUGGUCUGAGAGGAUGACCAGCCACACUGGAACUGAGACACGGUCCAGACUCCUACGGGAGGCAGCAGUGGGGAAUAUUGCACAAUGGGCGCAAGCCUGAUGCAGCCAUGCCGCGUGUAUGAAGAAGGCCUUCGGGUUGUAAAGUACUUUCAGCGGGGAGGAAGGGAGUAAAGUUAAUACCUUUGCUCAUUGACGUUACCCGCAGAAGAAGCACCGGCUAACUCCGUG